rnacentral:rRNA from 1 species
GACGAACGCUGGCGGCGUGCUUAACACAUGCAAGUCGAACGGAAAGGCCCUGCUUUUGUGGUGUGCUCGAUUGGGGAACGGGUGAGUAACACGUGAGUAACCUGCCCUUGUCUUUGGGAUAACUUCAGGAGACUGGGGCUAAUACCGGAUAGGAGCUCCUGCUGCAUGGUGGGGGUUGGAAAGUUUCGGCGGUUGGGGAUGGACUGGCGGCUUAUCAGCUUGUUGGUGGGGUAGUGGCUUACCAAGGCUUUGACGGGUAGCCGGCCUGAGAGGGUGACCGGGCACAUUGGGACUGAGAUACGGACCAGACUCCUACGGGAGGCAGCAGUGGGGAGUAUUACACAGUGGGCGGGAGCGUGAUGCAGCAGCGCCGCGGGCGGGAAGACGGCCUUCGGGUUAUAAACCGCUUUGGCCUGUGACGAAGCGUGAGUGACGGUAAUGAGUAAAGAAGCACCGGCUAACUACGUG